rnacentral:misc_RNA from 1 species
GUAAAACUUGACUCGGUAAUGGAGAAGGUCUGCUAGCUAUGCUUUGAGCUUGCUGGAAUUGCAGAAUUGUGGAUGCGUGCUUGACAGGAUCCAGAGUCCUAAAUUCCUGUAGUGCUGCAGCAGCCAUUGCUUGAUAGGCAUCGGGUUGUAGACCGAUCAUUGAGUUAUCGAGUCUCUGUUGAAGCCAAGGAUUGACUCCACCGCCCUGGAAAUUUAAUGACUGAAGGGGGUUGACACCGUCACGAAGCCACAUGAAUGGAGAGUUCAGGCCCAUAUCAUCGCUUCCACCAUACAAAGACGGCAA